CGCGCAUGGAUUGUGGAGAGCCACGAUGUCGCUUUGCUCUACUCCGCACUACAGCGGCCGCUGAUGUGAGCUGCAGUUUCCAUUCAUGGAAGUUCUAUUUGUACAUAUGUGAGCUCCAAUUUUUAUGGCCAAGAUAGUUUGGAAGUUCACCUCAACUUCUUUCGGAAGCUCACUUGGUUCACAAUCCCCGCCGCUGGAGUUUAGCGGAGCCUGCUGCUGGCGAUGGAGUGAACUCCACAAGUUCAUCUCUCAACGGUGCUUGUCUGCUUGUUGCUGGACCUUUGAGGCUCCUGAUGGCAAGCAUGUUUGGCACUUACCAGGAAAAAAUGUAUGAAAAUGAAAACACUUGCAUUUGGUAUGCACUUCCAAACAAUUACCUAUGAUAUUUCCUUUUAAAUAAUCUAUGCUGAUGCUGCAGUCCGUUCUAGUUUAUUUCCUUGUAUUACUCAACCUGUCUGCUUGUGCAAACAGUUUAGAGAACACCUAUCUUUGCAUGGACUGAUUAUGUAACAAAUACGAUAGCUUUAAAAAUAGAAGUUCGCCUCAUCCACUUAUGAAGGAAAAAAGAAGUUCAUAUUGUUUACAUGGCCA